rnacentral:rRNA from 1 species
UCGAUGACGAACGCAGCGAAAUGCGAUAAGUAGUGUGAAUUGCAGAAUUCAGUGAAUCAUCGAAUCUUUGAACGCCUUGCGCCCCUUGGUAUUCCAUGGGGCAUGCCUGUUCGAGCGUCAUUUGUACCCUCAAGCUAUGCUUGGUGUUGGGUGUUUGUCCUAUCCAUUGCGACUGGACUCGCCUUAAAGAUAUUGGCAGCCGGCAUUUUGGCCUUGGAGCGCAGCACAAUUUGCGAGUCCAAGCCGGAAUACUGACGUCCAGAUAAGCUUUUUACCACGUCUGACCUCGGAUCAGGUAGGGAUACCCGCUGAACUUAAGCAUAUCAAUUUGCGGAGGA